GCCAAAAUAGCUCAGUUGGGAGAGCGUUAGACUGAAGAUCUGAAAGUCCCUGGUUCGAUCCCGGGUUUCGGCA